rnacentral:rRNA from 1 species
AGUGAACGCUGGCGGUAGGCCUAACACAUGCCAGUCGAACGGCAGCACAGUAAGAGCUUGCUCUUACGGGUGGCGAGUGGCGGACGGGUGAGGAAUACAUCGGAAUCUACUUUUUCGUGGGGGAUAACGUAGGGAAACUUACGCUAAUACCGCAUACGACCUACGGGUGAAAGCAGGGGAUCUUCGGACCUUGCGCGAUUGAAUGAGCCGAUGUCGGAUUAGCUAGUUGGCGGGGUAAAGGCCCACCAAGGCGACGAUCCGUAGCUGGUCUGAGAGGAUGAUCAGCCACACCGGAACUGAGACACGGUCCAGACUCCUACGGGAGGCAGCAGUGGGGAAUAUUGGACAAUGGGCGCAAGCCUGAUCCAGCCAUACCGCGUGGGUGAAGAAGGCCUUCGGGUUGUAAAGCCCUUUUGUCGGGAAAGAAAAGCAGCAGGUUAAUACCCCGCUGUUCUGACGGUACCCAAAGAAUAAGCACCGGCUAACUUCGUG